rnacentral:sRNA from 16 species
UAGCUGUCACUCCAGACCAUAUCCUAAGCUCCUGAUAAAUUGAGAGGUAAACGUUUGCCUUCUCUCACCCUAAUCUCGCAAAUUGAAUUGCGAUACGCCGGGAAAACGACACAGGACGUCAGGAGGGGGUCAGUGGCCGGUACGCUUAUAAAUUUAGCGUGGAAUUUUGUCCUAUCUUGAUGAAAAGGGGAAGCGCAAAAACGGUUAUGAGCCUAAAUCCAGGAAGAUUUUUGAGCGAAACUGUGUAAAAAUGAGCAAGCUCACUUUUCAUGUGGGGAUUAAAAGGAGAAAAAUUGAUGAAUACCGAUCUUAAGUUUUCGUUAACGACCACAAUUAUCGUGCUGGGUUUGAUUGUUGCGGCAAGUUUUACGGCUAUUCUGCACUGAUUC